AAUACGGGAUAACAUAUUUGAGAGGCAUCUCUUAAAUAUCAAAGGUGAGCCAGUACAGGAUGGACCCGCGUCUGAUUAGCUAGUUGGUAAGGUAAUGGCUUACCAAGGCGACGAUCAGUAGCCGACCCGAGAGGGUGAUCGGCCACAUUGGAACUGAGACACGGUCCAAACUCCUACGGGAGGCAGCAGUGGGGAAUAUUGCACAAUGGGCGAAAGCCUGAUG
rnacentral:rRNA from 1 species